rnacentral:tRNA from 1 species
AAGGCUUUAAGUUAAUUAAACUAUUAUCCUUCAAAGUUAAAAAUAUAAUUUGUUAUAAGCCUUA